ensembl:lncRNA
UUUUCUUUUAAUAUAAUAUAAUGUAAUAUAAUAUAAUAUAAUAUAAUCAUAGAUACAUUUGUACUCUUAUUGUGCAUUUUAUUUAAUAUUUGAUGUUGGAUGAAUAUUGUUAAUUCUGCAUCUUUAAAUCUUGAAUUUAUUGCAUGAGCUUUUUUUUUCAAAAAUGUAUUGUUUAAUAUGUUUUUUUUUUCCGUUUGAGACAAUAGUGAAGUACAGUUUUAUGCAUAUUUAUGAAUUUAAUAAUGUUCUAUAUAUAAAUUGAACCACUGAAUACCGAGUAGUUUUAAUCUUUUGAAAGUUUUUUCUUUGUUUUUUUUUUUUUGCUAUAAAACACUAUAAAAAUAAAAUAAAAUGUGUACUUUUAUCAUGAUGUAUUUUAAACAAACAAACAAACAAACAAACAAACAAAAAAUCUGAAAUACCUGAUGGUUGAAGUUGUAAUGAAUAUAACUUUGGAACUUUUAUUUACUUUAUUACCUUCUUUUAAAAAAAAGAAAUUCUUUUCAGCUACAAGUAAGAGUUUCUCUAUAUUUAUUUACGCCUUUAAUAAUCGUGUAGGAUUGAAACUGAAUUCCUUUUUCGCUGUUGUUUAAACGUACUUCUCGGUCUGCUGCAGUGACAGUAUAAUGACUAACGGGAUGAUAAACGAAAGCAGCGACUCUGAGCACACUCACUGUGGAGCUCUCCCUCGGCCAGUUUGACGAUGAUGCCGGAGCCGUUCUUGAGGCCGCACCAGUAAACUCCGUCCCCCUGAGACAGGCUCCUCACAGACACGGUGAAGGCCUUGUCGUCGUCCUGCACGCUCAGACGCCCGCCGUCCAGCUCCUUCUCCCCGGACGUGAAGGUGAACCCUCUGCAGCAGCUCUGAUUGUUUGCCUCCUUUUUACACCAAACUCUCUCCGGGUAUUUUUGAGGAGAAAACUUGGAGUCGUAGGGACAUUUCAGCAUCUGCUCGGCAUGACAUACGUACACGACUGCGGAGAAGAACGCGGUUUCAGAGUGUCACGGCACAGAGAGAGAUGCCUCGAGAUGUUCUGGGCUUCUGUCGUUACUUUAAUUCCUCCCCAGUGCAUUUCUUUUCCCAUUUUACUUCCUCAGACCCUUUUCUCGUCCUUCCUUUUUCCUUUUCCUAUCCUCCUCAAUUCCCUUCCAAUUGACUUUACUUUGUUCCCCCCUUCCUUUUAAUACACUUUUACUUUCCAGGUCCCAGCAUCUGUUUUAUUUAUUUAUUUUUUUUAAAAUAAAGAUUAUACUGAGCUUUCAUCAUCAACUUUUUUGAUCAAAUAUUUGAUUGCAAUUAAAUUUUCAGAUUAGUCUAAUCACG